rnacentral:lncRNA from 1 species
GAAAAAGGCAGAUUUUGAGGAAAUGAGCCCAUGGGAAGGGGAUAAUAGGAAAGAGCUGCGAGGCACAGAAGCAGCCUCCUCCGUGGAGAGCUAGGCAGGCAGCCUUCACUACUCUCCCCUCCAUCAGUCCCCAAGCCCCAAGUGGCCCAGCUGAGGUCAACCUGAGCUCCUUGCCACUGUAGGGCAUUUACCCCCUUUUCUGAAAAACAGCUUUGUUGGGAUAUAAUUCGGAAAACAGGCACUUCUCCCCCGGGAAGCGCACAAGCCAUGGAUUUUACUGUAUCCGCAAGAUCAUGAGCCAUCAUUUCUGUCUAAACCCAGAACCUCCUCGUCACACCCCCUGCAACUCUCCUGACCAUCAGUGGUCACUAUCUUCUCCUCCCUGGCCCCUGGCAACCACCCAUCAACCAUCAGGGUCUAUAGAUGUGUCCAUUCUGGACAUUUCGUAUGAGUGGGAUUGUAUAAUGCGUGGUCCUUCGUGCCUCUUCCACUCAGCAAGACGCUUCUGAGAUUUAUCUCCAUGUUGUAGUGUGCAUUAGCACCUGUUUCUUUACAUGGCUGAAUACUAUUCCACUUUAUAUGUGCAACUCACUUUAUUCAUCUGUUCGUCUCCCUCCCACUCCAUCCCUUCUCAGCUCUGAAGACUGACCCCAGGGCCUUGUAUGGGCUAAGCACCUGCUCUGUCUCUGAGCUAUACCCUUAGCCUAUCUGUUCCUCUCUUGAUGGUCAUUUGGAUGUUCCUGCUUUUGGCUAUUUGGCGUCAUCGGCUGUGAACAUUCAUAUACAAGCUUUUGUGGGGUUGUGCUUUCAUUUCUCUUGGGCAUGUUUAAGAGUGAACUUGCUGGGUCACAAAAAGCCAAGUUUAAUCAUUUGAGAAACGGCCUGUUUUCCGUCUCCUCUGUCUUCCCACCCUGGACCACACAAUGGCCCCUUCACUCUUGUCUUUUGCUCCAGCCGUGUCCUCUCCUUCUGCUCAGGUGUCCUCACCCCAUGUCAGGGAACACAGUCCAGCGGCACCCUGGAGAGCCGGGGUGGUGAACGGGAAGGACAAGGGGUUGCCUCAGGAGCUGGCAUUGGGACAGCUGCUGGCCGGGGUUCCCCAGCGGCUGCAGUCGGCCACCACAGCCCCGAGGGCACAGCUCCUGCUGAGACCUAGAAGGGCACAGGGCUCUCGGGCCUGCUGCGCCUCGAGUCACUCUGGUCUUCCUGGGACACUCUUUACUGAGCUGAGCCGUGGCACAACCCAUUUAUUUUAAAAUCUGCGUAGAGCAGGCCAUUUUCCUCAGAGGUGGCCAAGUGAAUUUGUGAAUGAACGGAGUUCAAUAUGGUCAAUAAAUUAACUUGCUUCAAGUCACAGGGCGGGAUGAUGGCAGAGUCCCCACCAGAUUCUCCUAUCAAAGAUCUUUCUGUUUGGUUUUUAAUCUCUCCUCUUAAUUGGUGAUCAAAUGAGUGAAGCUGCAUUGUAGAUUCUCUUCCACCACUAAGUUGGGGAUUUUCCUCCUCCGUAGGGCUGACAUUUGGGGCCUCAGAGUCCACCGUGGGGACCUCCCUGGGCACUGCAGGCUAUUUGGCAACACCCCUGCCCUCUGAUCACUGGGUAUUGAUAGUGGCCUCCUUUGCCCCGAGGUCAUGACAACCCAAAAUGUGUCCAGAUUUUGCCAAAUGUCCCCUGGGGGAAAAAAUGGCCCAGUGGAGAACCACCAUCGUGUGACAAACUCGAUGUAGAGAGUGGCCAAGGGCAUUGCCCACUCUCUGCCCAUCAUAGAAAGAGUUUUAGCCAAUUCCCCUUUAACAGAGCAGGAAAUUAGACAAAUGUAAAUUUAGAAGGAAUUUUAACAAUAAAUUUAGAAUCCAAAAGGGUUUUACAAGCAAUUUGCCGUUAAUGAGGGUAUUUAGUUGACCAGAUUCCCUACUUUUUUAGAAUUUUGGUUAAUAAGUAUCAGCUUUAUGGGAUUCCCAAGUACCCUGGGUUAGGCAGGCUGUGGGGUCCUGCCCAUUAAGGAGACAUUUUCUCAAAGUCUUUUUUGGGUUGCUUGGCUCAGACUUUCACCCAGGAUCAGAACUUCAGGUGAGUCAUGGUAACAGGAAGGGUGGGGGGAGAGACUGUUAGAACCAGAGGCCCCACGACAAACGUGGUCCAUUUUUAAGGGCUUGAUGUUAAUUUCUAGAACAUUCUGUCAACAUCAGCCUUGAACCGAGCCUGAGAUGCAGACAUGAACACAGUUGCUCGGAGCCAGUGUGACUUUCAGGGUCUGGGAUGCUCCCUGGCUUUUGCAGUGGGUGGGACUGGAGACCUCAUUAGUAAACUCCUGUUAAAAUGUGAGUCCUCUUAGCUGGAUAUAUCCAAAUACAAGAUGUAUCUUUCCCCGCUGGCAGAAUCAAUAAAUUUGCACGAUGCACAUUAAAUGUUUAAUUAAAGCUCAAUGUGCAAGCAUUUUCGGGAAGUUAUAAAAGCCCUCUGCAGGAGGCCUGGAAGCUAGGGGUGCCUGUGGAUUUGCCAGGGCUCCAUCCAUCAGUCACCAGGGGCCACUUCCUUCCGAUGCUGUUUUGUAUGUGAGUUAUGUUGCAUGUCUCAAAGCUGAUGAUGAACGUAUGACCAUGUUCGGGUGACCCCCAAGAUUACAAACACAGGAGCCUUCAGGAGCAAAACAGGUGGCCAGAAUCUCCCUCCUGCCAGCAUUGACACUGACCCCUCUACAAGGAAGGGGAACUGGAGGCUCUGCACAAGGCCCAUGCUGGGGGAACAGAAGGAUUCCAAGAGCAAUUUGAAGCUGCAAGGGGAAAGUGUGAGAGACGGAAUUGCACUCCUUUGGCUCUCCUUGCCAGAGAGAGUGCCCGGGUCUUGGAGCUGGAUGCAUUCCCGAGCAAGAUGCCAGGCUCAGAUGAUGCACCCUGGGCGCUCUUGCACCGUGGGAUGGAGCCUUAUUUAGUAGCUGUAUUAAUUGAACCCUCACGCUGUGUGGCUUGGUGGAGUUCACAUCAGAACAUCUCCUCGCCGCUGGAGAUGUCCCUUCCUGAGUUCCUUCGCCCUCCAGAUCGGAGCUCUUCCUGGCUGAUUUUGUUUUUCAUUCACCUUUGCCCAGGCGUUCCCUGAGUGUCUGUGAAUGGUGCAGCUGUUUGUCCCGAUCUUUACCUUUAUUGAGCAUCUAUUCAGUGUCAGCCACCACAGUAAGUGAUUUACCCGCAACAUCUUCUUCAACCUCCACGGGCGCCCCAGGAGGUGGGAUGGGUGACUUCCCACACCCUGUGUUUGUCUCUCUGCUGGCUUUUCUACCUUUUCCUGGUAGCCCUGGUUUCUUCUACCUCCUUCUUCUUUUUCUUUUCCCUUCCCUUUGUCCUUAACCAACUCCACCUUGGAAGGGUAAAUGUCGUCAUUUGACUGCACAUUCUAGUGUCUUCUUGAAUUUAAAAAUCUGGUCCCUGACUCUGUUCCAGCCUCAGUUUGAGCCACACCCUCGGGGCUUCCCAUAUUCCAGCCACACACACCAGCUUUCUUUUCUGCUUCUCCAUGCUCUUUCCCACCCCAGGGCCUUUGCACACGUUUUUUGCUCUCUUCCACUGUAAUUCUCUUUAAUCUUAUUUGCUUAGUUAACGCCAUACACCCAGUACCAUCUUUGUGUAGCUUGUGGGCUAAGAAUGUUUUUGUGUUUUAAGGAGUUUGUUUGUUUGUUUAGAAGAAAAAGAAGGAGAAAGAAGAGAAGGAAAUAAGGAGAGGAGAAGGAGAAGCCUCAGCGGUAGCAGCACUCGUAUACUGCAUGGUCCAUGACACUUACGAUGGCUUGCUCUCCGGCCCUUACAGGAGAUGUCUGCAGCUUUCAUAGAGAUCCUGGGUCCAAGCGGGUAACUCCACAGGCAGGGAUGUUUCUGCCUGGUUCAUCCUUUGCCCCAAAUGCCCAGUUCAAAGCCUCUCACAAAGCAGGCGCUCAAUAACUUGGUGAGAUGGAAGAAUGACUGAAGAGUCCUCAUCUUCCCUCCUUUGCGCUUCCCUAAGCGGCAGGAGCCCGCCAGAGCGCUCAGGCUCCACCAAUAGCCGAGGACCCUUCUGCAGCCUGGGCCCCCAGUGCCGCCCCUGCUCAUGGAGUCUGCACUGGGCCUCGCCCCACUUGUGCGCAUUCCCCCACAUUCCUCCUCCUCGUCCUGGGAAAUCUCGUUGGUCACCAGGUCUCAGCUCAAUUCCCGUCUCCCCGGGGAAUUUUUCUCUGAGCCUCAAGAAAGCCUGGAUGGUGUUUCUUCCUGCUCCACACCUCUUUGGCCUACUUGUACCCAAACUCUGACGCCUCCGUCUCGUAAUUGCUUUUUGGAGUGUUUCUCUCUCCGUCAGGUGCGGGGUGCCGGGGGACAAGGAUGCUGCUGCUGUUCAUCUUGCAUUCCUGCACCCGCGAUGAUCCGCAGCCCACAUCGGGCACUCAGAGACGUGUCGGAUGGACAGGUGGAGUGGAUGGACGGAUGAAUGAGCAGGGGGGAUGAUUGAAGGCCAAAAGCCAUUCCCCUUCACCGGUGUGUCGGGAAAGGAAUCAGAGGUUGGUUUUUAAACACAUCUAAAACUCUUUUUGUGUUACCAAUGUCAAGAUGUGCUUGGCACGUACCUUUAUGACUCGUGGCUGAUUUACAGAAGAGUUGUUUUAUUCCUUAAUUCCAAUGCAGGUGGCUUUCGGGGCUCCUUGGCCUGCCUGUGACUGGCUCCCAAGUGCUGUGGAAGACUGUUGGGGGGCGGGGGAACACCUGCUCGAUCUGAGUUCAAAACUUGCAGCGAGGUGCAAUCCAAGCAGGCAGAGAACUGGUAGGGAAUACCUGGGAAUUCAUCCUCUUCAGGGUGGUGUGAGCAUCAUGGGUUUGUAAUUCAUUUAUUUUUCUAUUUUAAUUUAUGGAACUAUUGUCCUAAUAUUAUUUGGCCAAUAAAGAAAAUAGAUAUCUGGUCGUUGGAGGCAUCUCUGCUUGGAUCCUUGGAUUGCAAAUCAGUAAUAAGAGGAAGGACAUUUUUUCAAGCCUGUGUCUGAGAAGUUGGAGGUAUCAGCAUACAG